GAAAUGCGAUACGUAAUGUGAAUUGCAGAAUUUAGUGAAUCAUCGAAUCUUUGAACGCAUAUUGCACUCUUUGGUAUUCCGAAGAGUAUGCCUGUUUCAGUAUCAGAAGUACUAUCGAAAUCUUUUUUUCGGAUCUGGGUCUCGUGUGUUCUUUCUCUCCGGGGAGAGACUUUUGUUGAGCAUACUGGCCUGAAAUUUAAUCGUGAUCAAGUUCAGGUGAACAUCCAAAGAUCCUUCCAGUAAGGCAUCAUAGUUUGACCGUGGUCAUCUUUUUGCUUUGUGGGUUUCGAGGGUGCUGGGCAAUUUCGCGUAAAAAAUUGCAACGCAAAUUGCAAAACUUUCUCAAUUUGAUCUGAAAUCAGGUAGGAUUACCCGCUGAACUUAA
rnacentral:misc_RNA from 1 species